rnacentral:rRNA from 1 species
AGGACGAACGCUGGCGGCGUGCCUAACACAUGCAAGUCGAACGAGAUCCAACCGGUAGCAAUACUGGUGAAGAUCAAGUGGCGAACGGGUGAGUAGCACGUGAGCAACCUGCCCCGAAGACCGGGACAACACCGGGAAACCGGUGCUAAUACCGGAUACCCCCACCGAGUCGCAUGGCUUGGUGAGGAAAUGGAUUCCGCUUCGGGAGGGGCUCGCGGCCUAUCAGCUAGUUGGUGAGGUAACGGCUCACCAAGGCUUCGACGGGUAGCUGGUCUGAGAGGACGAUCAGCCACACUGGGACUGAGACACGGCCCAGACUCCUACGGGAGGCAGCAGUGGGGAAUCUUGCACAAUGGGCGAAAGCCUGAUGCAGCAACGCCGCGUGAGGGACGAAGGCUUUCUGAGUUGUAAACCUCUUUCAGCAGGGACGAUUGUGACGGUACUGCAGAGAGCCCGGCAACUACGCGCAGCAGCCGCGGUAA